UACGUAGGGCGCAAGCGUUUAUCCGGAAUUAUUGGGCGUAAAGAGCUCGUAGGCGGUUCCGUAAGUCGCGAAGUCAAAUCUCUGGGCUCAACCCAGAAUCGCUUCCGAUACUGCGGCGACUGGAGUCCGGUAGGGGAGUGUGGAAUUCCUGGUGUAGCGGUGAAAUGCGUAGAUAUCAUGAGGAAUACCAGAGGCGAAGGCGGCUACCUGGACAAUUGCUGACGCUCAGGCACGAAAGCGUGGGGAGCAAAAAGGG
rnacentral:rRNA from 1 species